GACGAACGCUGGCGGCGUGCCUAAUACAUGCAAGUCGAGCGAGCGGAACUAACAGAUUUACUUCGGUAAUGACGUUAGGAAAGCGAGCGGCGGAUGGGUGAGUAACACGUGGGGAACCUGCCCCAUAGUCUGGGAUACCACUUGGAAACAGGUGCUAAUACCGGAUAAGAAAGCAGAUCGCAUGAUCAGCUUUUAAAAGGCGGCGUAAGCUGUCGCUAUGGGAUGGCCCCGCGGUGCAUUAGCUAGUUGGUAAGGUAAAGGCUUACCAAGGCGAUGAUGCAUAGCCGAGUUGAGAGACUGAUCGGCCACAUUGGGACUGAGACACGGCCCAAACUCCUACGGGAGGCAGCAGUAGGGAAUCUUCCACAAUGGACGCAAGUCUGAUGGAGCAACGCCGCGUGAGUGAAGAAGGUUUUCGGAUCGUAAAGCUCUGUUGUUGGUGAAGAAGGAUAGAGGUAGUAACUGGCCUUUAUUUGACGGUAAUCAACCAGAAAGACACGGCUAACUACGUG
rnacentral:rRNA from 1 species